GAUGAACGCUGGCGGCGUGCUUAACACAUGCAAGUCGAACGAAGCAUUACUUUUGAAAGAACUUAGCUUGCUAAGAGCGGACAUGUGUAAUGACUGAGUGGCGGACGGGUGAGUAACGCGUGAGUAACCUGCCUUAUACAGGGGGAUAACAGUUGGAAACGACUGCUAAUACCGCAUAAGCACACAGUACCGCAUGGUACGGUGUGAAAAACUCCGGUGGUAUAAGAUGGACUCGCGUCUGAUUAGCUAGUUGGUGAGGUAAAGGCCCACCAAGGCAACGAUCAGGAGCCGGCCUGAGAGGGUGACCGGCCACAUUGGGACUGAGACACGGCCCAAACUCCUACGGGAGGCAGCAGUGGGGAAUAUUGCACAAUGGGGGAAACCCUGAUGCAGCGACGCCGCGUGAAGGAAGAAGUAUUUCGGUAUGUAAACUUCUAUCAGCAGGGAAGAAAAUGACGGUACCUGACUAAGAAGCCCCGGCUAAUUACGUGCCAGCAGCCGCAGUAACAC
rnacentral:rRNA from 1 species